rnacentral:rRNA from 1 species
GACGAACGCUGGCGGCGUGCUUAACACAUGCAAGUCGAACGGAAAGGCCCUGCUUUUGUGGGGUGCUCGAGUGGCGAACGGGUGAGUAACACGUGAGUAACCUGCCCUUGACUUUGGGAUAACUUCAGGAAACGGGGGCGAAUACCGGAUAGGAGCUCCUGCUGCAGGGGGGGGGUUGGAAAGUGUCGGCGGUUGGGGAUGGACUCGCGGCUUAUCAGCUGGUUGGGGGGGUAGUGGCUUACCAAGGCUUUGACGGGUAGCCGGCCUGGGAGGGUGACCGGCCACCUUGGGCCUGCGCUACGGCCCAGACUCCUACGGGAGGCAGCAGUGGGGAAUAUUGCACAAUGGGCGGACGCCUGAUGCAGCAACGCCGCGUGCGGGAUGACGGCCUUCGGGUUGUAAACCGCUUUCGCCUGUGACGUAGCGUGCGUGACGGUAAUGGGUAAAGAAGCACCGGCUAACUACGUG